CCAAGACCUCAGAUCAGGCGAGACUACCCGCUGAACUUAAGCAUAUCAAUAAGCGGAGGAAAAGAAACUAACCAGGAUUCCUUUAGUAAUGGCGAACGAACAGGGAACAGCUCAAAUUUGAAAUCUCGAUCGCUUGCGGUCGCGAAUUGUAGUUUCCAGAAACGUUAUCCCCGCCGCGGUGACCGGUCCAAGUUGCUUGGAACAGCAUAUCAGAGAGGGUGAGAAUCCCGUUUCUGGCCGGUCCUUCGGUGGCACGAGGCGUUUUCGAAGAGUCGGGUUGUUUGGGAUUGCAGCCCAAAAUGCGUGGUAAACCCCACGUAAAGCUAAAUAUUGGCACGAGACCGAUAGCGAACAAGUACCAUGAGGGAAAGAUGAAAAGCACUUUGAAAAGAGAGUUAAACAGUACGUGAAACCGUUAAAAGGGAAACGAAUGGAGCCAGCAAGGCAUCUCGUUUGAUUCAACCGGUGGCCGGUAGCCUCCGUCUCGCAGUGAUCCGUAUGGACUCGUGUGAGGGAGAGCGUUGUCGGUUGCCGUGUGCACUUAUUCGGGAUGCGUGCCAACUUGGCUUGGUGACCAUCAACACGGUCAAAUGGGAAGGUAGCUCUCCUCGGGGAGUAUUAUAGCCCGUUUGUCUUGGAUGGUCACCGAGUGAGGUGUGUUGCGGUACGUGCCUCCUCGUGGGGCUUGGGCCUCUCCGGUGGUCUGUCACGCCUAGUGUUGACUGCACGCAGUGAGCAUUGGGUCGAUGGCUGGCUGCCGGGGGGUGUCCCGUACACGUGCCUAGGAAGUUGGCGUGCAAAUGGCUUCAUCCGACCCGUCUUGAAACACGGACCAAGGAGUCUAA
rnacentral:rRNA from 1 species